rnacentral:rRNA from 1 species
UGGGGAAUAUUGGGCAAUGGAGGAAACUCUGACCCAGCAACGCCGCGUGAAGGAUGAAGGUUUUCGGAUUGUAAACUUCUGUCGCGAGGGACGAAGAAUGACGGUACCUCGUAAGAAAGCCCCGGCAAACUACGUGCCAGCAGCCGCGGUAAUACGUAGGGGGCGAGCGUUGUCCGGAAUGACUGGGCGUAAAGGGAGUGUAGGCGGCUAUGUAAGUUAGAUGUGAAAUCCCACGGCUCAACCGUGGAACUGCAUCUAAAACUGUGUAGCUGGAGUGCAGGAGAGGUGAGUGGAAUUCCUAGUGUAGCGGUGGAAUGCGUAGAUAUUAGGAGGAACACCGGAGGCGAAGGCGGCUCACUGGACUGUAACUGACGCUGAGGCUCGAAAGCGUGGGGAGCAAACAGG